rnacentral:snRNA from 1 species
GUACUCGCUUCGGCAGCACAUAUACUAAAAUUGGAACGAUGAUACAGAGAUUAACAUGGCCCCUGUGCAAGGAUGACACACAAAUUCGUGAAGGGUUCCAUAUUAAA